GCGAGUUUAGCUCAGUUGGGAGAGCGUUAGACUGAAGAUCUAAAGGUCCCUGGUUCGAUCCCGGGAACUCGCA
rnacentral:tRNA from 1 species